rnacentral:rRNA from 1 species
CCAGACUCCUACGGGAGGCAGCAGUGGGGGAUAUUGCACAAUGGGGGGAACCCUGAUGCAGCGACGCCGCGUGGGUGAAGGAGCGUUUCGGCGCGUAAAGCCCUAUCGGCAGGGAAGAAGGAGGACGGUACCUGACUAAGAAGCCCCGGCUAGCUACGUGCCAGCAGCCGCGGUAAUACGUAGGGGGCAAGCGUUAUCCGGAUUUACUGGGUGUAAAGGGGGCGCAGACGGCAGCGCAAGCCAGGAGUGAAAGCCCGCGGCCCAACCGCGGGACUGCAUUGGGAACUGGCGCGCUGGAGUGCCGGAGGGGUAGGCGGAAUUCCUAGUGUAGCGGUGAAAUGCGUAGAUAUUAGGAGGAACACCAGGGGCGAAGGCGGCCUACUGGACGGUGACUGACGCUGAGGCUCGAAAGCGUGGGGAGCAAACAGGAUUAGAUACCCCUGUAC